GUGCCAGCAGCCGCGGUAAUACGGAGGUGGCAAGCGUUGUUCGGAAUUACUGGGCGUAAAGCGCGCGUAGGUGGGGAGGCAAGUCGGGUGUGAAAUCCCUCGGCUCAACCGAGGAACUGCGCUCGAAACUGCUUCUCUUGAGUCCCGGAGAGGAAGGUGGAAUUCCCGGUGUAGCGGUGAAAUGUGUAGAGAUCGGGAGGAACACCGGUGGCGAAGGCGGCCUUCUGGACGGUGACUGACGCUGAGGCGCGAAAGCGUGGGGAGCAAACGGGAUUAGAUACCCCGGUAGUCCACGCUGUAAACUAUGGGUGCUAGGUGUGGGGGGUAUCGACCCCUCCCGUGCCGAAGCUAACGCAGUAAGUACCCCGCCUGGGAGUACGGCCGCAAGGCUGAAACUCAAAUGAAUUGACGG
rnacentral:rRNA from 1 species